UGUGUGGUGUUAGCCGAGAACAUACCACAGACAAGAUUGGUUUGGACAGGAUAGAGGAACGUAGAUAAUCAGGUACCGUUAGUUUUACACUGACAUGACUAAAAUCAACAACAGAAUACAUGCAAGUAAUGAAUUUGACCUUCACUGAAUUAUAUCAGUAAACACCGUGGUGAGAGACUGAAGAUGGAAGAAGUUGGAGCUAUGAAAAAACACAGACUAACUCCAGAGAAAAAUGAAUUCAG